UACGGAGGGUGCAAGCGUUGUCCGGAUUUAUUGGGUUUAAAGGGUGCGUAGGCGGCCCGUUAAGUCAGCGGUGAAAUCCCAGGGCUCAACCCUGGAACUGCCGUUGAUACUGGCGGGCUUGAGUUCGGUCGAGGCGGGCGGAACUGGUGGUGUAGCGGUGAAAUGCAUAGAUACCACCAAGAACCCCGAUUGCGUAGGCAGCUCGCUGUGCCGAAACUGACGCUGAGGCACGAAAGCGUGGGGAGCGAACAGG
rnacentral:rRNA from 1 species